AAGCGGCAACAGAAAUUUGAAAUCCCUUUCUCCGAGGAGUGGGGUGAGACCACGGAAGUCCAAACAUGGCGUCAGGUGAGAAUCCCGUAUGUGACCGUGGAUCGAGCCCAUGUGAAGCCUCACGAGUCGAGUUGUUUGGGAAUGCAGCUCAAAAUGGGUGGUAAAUUUCAUCUCUAAAUACUGGCUGGAGACCGAUAGCGCACAAGGAGUGAUCGAAAGAUGAAAAGCACUUUGGAAAGAGAGUCAAACAGUACGUGAAAUUGUUGAAAGGGAAGCGCUUGCAACCAGACCUGUCCGUAGGUGAUCAGCCGCUGUUCUCAGUGGUGCACUCGCUCUGCGAUCAGGCCAGCAUCGGUUCGGGCGGUCGGAUAAAGGCCUUGGGAAUGUAGCUCCCGGGGAGUCUUAUAGCCCUCGGUGCAAUGCGGCCAGCCGGGACCGAGGACCGCGCUUCGGCUAGGAUGCUGGCGUAAUGGUUGUAAGCGACCCGUCUUGAAACACGGACCAAGGAGUCUAACAUCUAUGCGAGUGUUUGGGUGUCAAACCCAUGCGCGGAAUGAAAGUGAACGGAGGUGAGAACCCUUAAGGGCGCAUCAUCGACCGAUCCAGAUGUCUUCGGAUGGAUUUGAGUAUGAGCAUAGCUGUUGGGACCCGAAAGAUGGUGAACUAUGCCUGAAUAGGGUGAAGCCAGAAACUCUGGCUCGCAGCACGUGCAAAUCGAUCGU
rnacentral:rRNA from 1 species